CAGUUCUUUUUCUUAGACUCUGGCAUCUCCUGGUAGAGCAAUAUCAAUAAAUUGUAUGCCUUGGUUUUCGACAACUGUGAUAUCUGGCAUGUUGUGUUCCAAAUGACGAUCCGUCUGUAUUCGAAAGUCCCACAAGAUCUUCACCUUCUCAUUUUCAACAACUUUUUCCACUUUAUGUUUCCAUGACUUUUCGGAUACAGUUUGAUGGCUUUGCAGUAGCCCUCUGCCUCCUAUUCUUCUUGACAAGUACAACCUGUCGAUGUCACUUUGUGGCUGUAAAGCAUGAUACAUAUUCAAAAGUUUACACAUUUUCCAGUCCAGGUUUUCCAGUUCAGCCACAGUCCAGUUGAUGAUUCCAGCUGGGUAGCGUAUCACUGUAACUGCCCAUGUAUUAAUGGCUUUAAUUAUGUUUCCAGCAUUCAGUUUUGAUUUUAAUAUUUUUGCAGACCCUCCUGUUGUAUUCCUUUUGCAUUUGACUUUUCCAUUCAAGAUGUUAUCUGCUUCCAAUAUGCCUAGGUAUUUGUAAACAUCAUCCUUUGCUAAUGCUUUCACAAUGCUUCCAUUUCCCAGUUCUAUUCCUUCUAUUUUUUUCCAUUUUUCCUCAUUGCAUGUAUAGCAUAGCACAUUUUUCAAGUCCAAAGUUCAUUCUGAUAUUGCUACUGAACAGUUGAACUGUGUUGAGUAUUGAUUUAAGUUCAGUGGGGCUUUUUGCAUAUAGUUUUAAGUCAUCCGUGUAUAGUAGAUGGUUUAUCUUGCCAUGUUGCCUUGAGAUUUGGUAUCCCAGUUUUGUGUUUGUAGGAUUAUUGUUGGUGGAAUUAAUGCAAUGUUGAACAGUAGUGGCGAAAGUGAAUCCCCUUGGAAGAUUCCUCGUCUGAUGUUGACUUCACCAAUGUUCACCAAUUUGCUGUUAGAACUGUUUUCCAUUUUUGCAUAUUUGCUUUAAAAUAUGUACAAAUAUUUUUGCUGAUUCCAAAGUUUUCCAGACAGGCGUUAAUCCAGCUGUGGGGUGAUGAGUCAAAUGCUUCUUGUAAUCUAUCCAUGCCAUAUUUAAAUUCAUUAUUCUUCGUUUUGCAUUUUUUAGUUCCAUUUUGUCAAUAAGCAGCUGAUCUUUUGUUCCUCUUGAUUUUUUAUUGUUUCCUUUUUGUUCUACCAGAUACAAACUGUUUUCCAUCAGAUGAUUGAAUACUGAAUUUCCCAGUAUUCUUGUAAAAUGUUUGAAUGUUGUUGGCAGACAAGUGAUUGGGUGGUAGUUACUUGGUUCUCUACUCUUUUCUGGAUCUUUCAUUAUCAAGUAUGUUCAACCAUCUGUUAACCAUUCUUCGCUUGUUGCAUUUUGAAGCAUUUCAUCAAACUGAGUGGCCAUGCGGUGAUGGAGGCUGGUCAGGUGUUUUAGCCAGUAUCCAUGCAGUUCGUCCAGGCCAGGUGCACUCCAGUUCUUGACCUUUUUUACUUGUUUUGCAACCAUAUCAGUUGUUAUUACAAUAUUCUCUAUUUUGUUUCGUGUUGCUUGUUUUUGAAUAUCUUUGAUCCAGGAAGCAGUUUUGUCAUGUUCCACUGGGUUUUCCCACAGUUGUUUCCAAAAGUUCAAAGUUUUUUCUUUACAUGGGUGAAUUUGACUUUGGACUCGACUUUCAUCAAGUGACCUGUAGAAGAGGUGUUGGUUUCUUCUAAAUUGGGCAUCUUCAGGAUAUUGUUUUAUUCAUCCUUCGUAUCUUUCUGAGGAAGAUAGGAAACCUCCCCUCAGGAUGCCUCUAUAGGGCAUGCCAAAACAACUUGACACAAAGACAGUUUUUACCCUCAUGCCAGCACUCUGCUGAACACCUAAUUAUCGCAGUACUGCCUUAUGGCUAAUAAUACUUUCCCAUAUGGUAUGGCUAUUAUUAUUGUUGUUGUUGCUGUUGUUAUUAUUAUUGUUAUUAUUAUAUAUUUUAUUCAUUAAACAUGAAACUCAGUCAACUGCACAUUUAAAAAUGUAUCACAAACAUCAUUGACUGGCGCUGAUGGUUGAUACGGGUUGCUGCCAGCAUUCUAGGUAUCAACCAAGUAUCUUAAAAUGUACGAUGUUCCAAGUAGUGCAGUUUUUUGUAAUUCUGCUGGUGUUAUUGCAGGAAGCUGCAAUUUCUUGAUGUAUUAGUAUUAUUAUUAAUAAUGUUGUUAUUAUUAUUUUCUACUACCUUCUCCUAUUGGUAUUUUAUAUUACCUUUUUGUUUGUAUGUACAUUUAUAUAUACACAGUUUAUAUAUACACUGAUUAUAUUACCUUGUUGCUUGUAUGUACAGAUAGUUCUCGAAUUAUGAAUGUAAUGGAGCCUGCCCAUUCCAUUCGUAAUCCAAGGAUUCGUGGGAGUGAAUCUCAUACCUUGAACAGGAUCACUCCCUCCUUUUGCCCAUGCCUUCGCUAAGCGAAUGUGAGGCUCGUUAAGUGCACAAGGUAUUUCAGGGUGGGGAAGGCCAAGAGGGGGACUACUGAUGGAGCAGGUCACUUGCCUAAGACCACCCAAGGCCUCCCCUGAACCAUUGAAAUAUCUCAUGCUCGCCACAAUUGCUUUCUCCCCCAACGUGCUGCGCCAGGUCACUUACCUUGUGAAGAUCUAGCAAGCAGUCUCCUCUCAGCCACAUGUGCCCUCUGCAGUUUUAUUCGGGCCUCCGCAGGCCUCACCUGGCCCAUUGCAGGCCAAAAUGGAGCUUCCAGGGGGACAGAUCGCUAAGGGAAUGCUCAUAACCUGGGAUUACCUGUACACUAAGAGGGUCAAGCACUGUGGAAAUUAGUAGAUUCAGGCAGUUUAAUGAGUAUAAAGAUUUAUUGCAAACUUAAGCUUUCUACAAGAUUCUCAGCUACUAAAAGUCAAAACAAAAUGGCGCUACAUAAGGGUCAAAGGAAUUAAAAGUGGGUUGGACUUAGAUAUCCUAUGGGUGUGCAGGGACUCAUGACUGAUGACACAUUUGACCUCUCCCUCAGGCUUAGUCUGGUCAUUUCCUAUAUUGAGCUUAUGCACUAGAGACAAAUUCCUUGUAUGUCCAAUUACAUUUGGCCAAUAUUCUAUUCUGUUGUGUUCUAUUUUCUAUUAAACGUUAACAUUUCAUAUUAGUUGCCUUGUCCAUGAAUAUUAUAUCUUGCCAUUAAAAUUAUUAAUUUGCUUUGUUCAAUAAACUUAUUUCAGCUUCUA